AUCUGGAGGAGGUUGUUCCAGGCAAAUGGAGCAACAACCACAGAAGCACAGAGGCCAGAGGUGGGAAGAAGCUUGGAGAGUUUUAGCAACAACAAAAAGGAUGUGAGAAUGAGAUCUCAAAAUAACCAAGUUGUUCACGGUAAUCCUACGGGAGAGAUGACUGCAAGAAAGAUCUGGAAGGUGGAGCUCUCCUUUUGCUGCUAACCACUCCUGCUAAAGGCCUGAUACAGUCUCAGAGAUCUGCAGAUGCUGUAGGUACCCUACCCUGGAGGGAUGUGGGCAAAGGCUUCCUUCUCUCGGAAACCACUCCUACUCCAGGGACUCCAGGUCUUGGAGACCUGAGCCUGGGCUGCAAGGCAGAAUUGAAGUGCAAGGUCAGAGGCCAAAGCCUGCAGAAGCAAAAGGAGGGCAGAGAGCGGGGCUGGGUUUGCAUCUUUAAUGAGUACAUCCAUUUUCUUUGAUGCCUUUGUAGGGUCAGCCCUAACUUUAUUAGCCUGCUUAUUAACUCUGGCCACUAUUCAGGAAAGGUAACUUCCGUCCCUGUGUGAUCUGGGAUCACCACCCCCACAUCCCUGUCUCCUUGGUGGGGAUUGGCUCUGGAAAACGUUGUCAUUCCUACUUGUCAAGAAGAUGGGAGGGGUGCCAGGCAGUGGUGGUGGUGCACCCCUUUAAUCCCAGCCCUUGGGAGGCACAGAUAGGUGGAUCUCUGUGAGUUCAAGGCCAGCCUGGUCUACAAGAGCUAGUUCCAGGAGAGGCUCCAAAGCUACAGAGAAACCCUGUCUCACAAAAACAAAAAAGAAGAAGAAGAAGAAAAAGAAGAAGAAGA